UCACUACGUUGCAGUGAUACAAUGACAACGUCAGUGUAGUAAAAAAAUACUGCAUGAAAUAAUAUAAAAAGCAAAAAAUGGAAACAAGAACCUCAGCAAAAAAAGAUUAUUGGGAUUGUUUAGAAACAUGUUUCGAAAUUCCAGCUGAAAGGCUAGAUAUAAGAAUCAUAGCAAUACUUGGGAUAAUACCAACAAUUGCAUGUGCCUGUCUCGGAUCACCUCUUGGAAAUUAUCAAACCAAUCAGCCGGACAAUAAAUCUUGUUUCCAUUAUUAA